CAGUAGCGUAUAUUAAAGUUGUUGCAGUUAAAAAGCUCGUAGUCGGAUGUCGGGCUCGGGCAGGCUGUCGGCUUCGGUCGGACGGCAGGCUCGGGUCUUUCUGCCUGAGGAUCCAUCUCAUUCACUUGGGGUGGGGACGCAGGCCGUUUACUUUGAAAAAAUUAGAGUGUUCAAAGCAGGCCUACGCCUGAAUACAUUAGCAUGGAAUAAUGGAAUAGGACUUUGGUGCUAUUUUGUUGGUUUAUGGGACCGAAGUAAUGAUUAACAGGGACAGUUGGGGCCGUUUAUAUUUCGUUGUCAGAGGUGAAAUUCUUGGAUUUACGAAAGAUAAACUUCUGCGAAANCANNNGGCAAGGAUGUUUUCAUNGA
rnacentral:rRNA from 1 species